rnacentral:rRNA from 1 species
AGUGAACGCUGGCGGUAGGCCUAACACAUGCAAGUCGAACGGCAGCACAGUAAGAGCUUGCUCUUACGGGUGGCGAGUGGCGGACGGGUGAGGAAUACAUCGCAAUCUUAUUUUUCGGGGGGGAUAACGUGGGGCAACUUACGCUAAUACCGCAUACGACCUACGGGUGAAAGCAGGGGAUCUUCGGGCCUUGCGCGAUUGAAUGAGCCGAUGUCGGAUUAGCUAGUUGGCGGGGUAAAGGCCCACCAAGGCGACGAUACGUAGCUGGGCUGAGAGGAUGAUCAGCCACACUGGAACUGAGACACGGUCCAGACUCCUACGGGAGGCAGCAGUGGGGAAUCUUGGACAAUGGGCGAAAGCCUGACCCAGCCAUGCCGCGUGAGUGAUGAAGGCCUUCGGGUUGUAAAGCCCUUUUAUUGGGAAAGAAAAGCAGCGGGUUAAUCCAUGGCUGUUCUGACGGUACCCAAAGAAUAAGCACCGGCUAACUUCGUG